GCUGUAGCUCUGUGGUAGAGCAUCUGCUUUGCCCACAGAAGGUCCCAGGUUCAAUCCCCGGCAUCUCCA